rnacentral:tRNA from 1 species
UCCCCAGUAUCUCAGGUGGUGAAGAAUCUGCCUGCAAUGCAGGAGACCCCAGGUCAUUUCCUGGUUUGGGAA